UAGAUGUGCAGGUCUACAUGUCUGUGU
rnacentral:piRNA from 1 species